UCCAGGAUGCCGUACUUCACUACUUCCCAUAUGUCUAAUAUAUUCCAUAUGGAAUGUGUUGAAGUAUGGAACUCUGGC
rnacentral:pre_miRNA from 1 species